GACGAACGCUGGCGGCGUGCUUAACACAUGCAAGUCGAACGGUGAAGCUCCAGCUUGCUGGAGUGGACCAGUGGCGAACGGGUGAGAAACACGUGAGCAACCUGCCCCAGACUCUGGAAUAAGCGCUGGAAACGGCGUCUAAUACUGGAUACGAGAUCAAGCCGCAUGGUUAUGGUCUGGAAAGUUUUUCGGUUUGGGAUGGGCUCGCGGCCUAUCAGCUUGUUGGUGAGGUAAUGGCUCACCAAGGCGACGACGGGUAGCCGGCCUGAGAGGGCGACCGGCCACACUGGGACUGAGACACGGCCCAGACUCCUACGGGAGGCAGCAGUGGGGAAUAUUGCACAAUGGGCGAAAGCCUGAUGCAGCGACGCCGCGUGAGGGAUGACGGCCUUCGGGUUGUAAACCUCUUUCAGCAGGGAAGAAGCGAAAGUGACGGUACCUGCAGAAGAAGCACCGGCUAACUACGUG
rnacentral:rRNA from 1 species